rnacentral:rRNA from 1 species
AACGAACGCUGGCGGCAUGCCUAACACAUGCAAGUCGAACGAGACCUUCGGGUCUAGUGGCGCACGGGUGCGUAACGCGUGGGAACCUGCCCUUAGGUUCGGAAUAACUCCCCGAAAGGGGUGCUAAUACCGGACAAUGUCUUCGGACCAAAGAUUUAUCGCCUUUGGAUGGGCCCGCGUUGGAUUAGCUAGUUGGUAGGGUAAAAGCCUACCAAGGCGACGAUCCAUAGCUGGUCUGAGAGGAUGAUCAGCCACACUGGGACUGAGACACGGCCCAGACUCCUACGGGAGGCAGCAGUGGGGAAUAGUGGACCAUGGGCGAAAGCCUGAUCCAGCAAUGCCGCGUGAGUGAUGAAGGCCGUAGGGUUGUAAAGCUCUUUUACCCGGGAUGAUAAUGACAGUACCGGGAGAAUAAGCCCCGGCUAACUCCGUG